rnacentral:tRNA from 1 species
GCCCGAUUAGCUCAGAGGACAGAGCACUUGGCUACGAACCAAGGUUAUGCGUAGGUUCGACUCCUACAUCGGGUG